rnacentral:lncRNA from 1 species
CGGGACUCUGAGGUACCGCGGUCGCCGCUCCUCCCGAGCCUGUCUCCCUUCUCUCCUUUAUUUCUCCUGCUCGCGCUCUCUCCCCCUUGCCUCUUCAUCUCGCCCCUCGGCAGGAACGGAAACGGAGCCAGGCCGGGGAUUCGCCCGGAGCCCAAGCUCCCCGGACGCCCCCUCCUCCUUCCCGCCUCCCUCUGGGUCAUCUGCCCCCCACCCCCACCCCAACUCGGCCAGGCCACCGCGCCAGCCUUCCGCCGGCUUCUUAAGGCCUCGGAACAAACAUCCUUUUUAAAGGCUGCUAAUCACUUUCCUGCAAAGAUGACAAGGUGAGCUUAAAGGGGACAACUUGAAAGGGCCAGGGUUUUUAGUUCUUAUUUUUGGAAGGAGAAACAAGAAUGCGCAAAACCUUUAGCUAAACGCUCGGGGCGUUGAAGAGUUCGUGGCAACUGAUCAUUUUGAAAUUGGGAGUUCACAGGAUCACCAUAACUUUGAGUAAGAUUUUACCAGCAGACGGCUGCACGGAAGUCUGUGUUGUGGACUGGAAUGUUCGCGUGCCACCCCCCCCCCCCCCCCCCCACGGUUGAAAACCCUAACCUCUCAGGGAUUAGGAGGUGGGGCCUUUGAGGUGAUUAGGUCAUGGGGGUGGAGCCCUCCUGAAUGGAAUUAGUGCCCUUAUAAAAGAGACCCCAUUGAGCUCUCUCGCUGUGCUGUGUGCCACGUGAGGGAGGACUCAAGGAGAAAAGGGAGGACUACCAGAAGAGUUCCUCCAGCAGACUUCAGCCAUGCCGGCACCUGCACUCCGAUUUCCAGCGUGCAGAACCGUCAGCACUAAAUUUCGGUUGUUUGUAGCCACCCAGUCCAUGGUAUUCUGCUAUAGCAGCCUAAAACAAGACGGUAUGUGUCCUAAUUACUGAAGUGUGACCUAAGUGAAUUGACAUCCUUUAUUAGCUCUUUUUUAUAUCCUGUGUGCGCGCACGUGUCCGUGCCUGCGUGUAUAAAUUCAUAUGCAGGCAGUGUCUAUUAGCGUUUUCUCAUCGUUUCUCACUUGGGGGUCAUUUUGGCUUUUUUUUUUUUUCUGUUGCCUUUAGGCGUAGGAUCCAGGUGCAGGGCCCAUCUGAUUCCCUAGAUUCAAGUCUCCCAUGACCACUUCUCUAGAGACCAUGAACGUUACAUAAUUUCUGUGUUGUUUUUUUUUUUUUUCUCAUUGUGAGAUGAGAAUAUUGAUGUGGACAGGUCCUUUCACUGUUUUUAAGGAUUAAGUGAGAGGAUAUUUGUAAAGCUCUAAACCUCCAGUAAAUGUCAGCACUUAAUCAGACAUUUCAGGGCAGUGGUUAAGUGUACCAGCCCUGCCACUCUCUAGUAUGUGACACUGGGCAUCGUUACUUUUCAUGCACGAUUGUUGGAGGAUUGAAUACUAUUAAAUGCCUUCAUCUGUUGUUGUACCAGCGUUUUUUGUGCACGUAUUUUAAAUCCAAAGAGGAUGUAUCUUCAGAACUUAUUCUUGGGCCUGGCCUCUUGAUCAAAGCUGUGGAAUAAUUUGGUCUUUAGCAUUAUUAUUAUUAUAUAUUGACUGCCUCCUGUUUUGUUACAUGAAGCUUUCUGCAAAUGUGUUUGAAGGAAAAAUGUCAAACGUCUUAAGGUGAAACCUAAGAAGCAUUUAUCCCUGGUGAGCUGAAAACCAUAAAAACCUUCAUAAUUGCUCCUGCCAUUACUGCUUCCUGUUGACCCACCCCAGGGGACCCCAGGGUAGCCUUUAGUGACCUUGAAACAAAGUUGACUCAGGCAUCUCUUGCUUUGGGGUAGACAAAAGGCCAAAAGUUGGACAUUGUCCACUGUUCGGCUCCAGGUACCUGGUAAAGAGUUGGGGAGAAAAAUGUGGUUGAGGGGAUGGCAGAGGCACCAGUUGCUCCCUCUUCAAAACUAGUAUUUGUAAACAAAAUGUCGGGGCGCCUGGAUGGCGCAGUCGGUUAAGCGUCCGACUUCAGCCAGGUCACGAUCUCGCGGUCCGUGAGUUCGAGCCCCGCGUCGGGCUCUGGGCUGAUGGCUCAGAGCCUGGAGCCUGUUUCCGAUUCUGUGUCUCCCUCUCUCUCUGCCCCUCCCCCGUUCAUGCUCUGUCUCUCUCUGUCCCAAAAAUAAAUUAAAAAAAAAAAAAAAAAAAACGUUGAAAAAAAAAUGUUUAAGGUAAUAUACUGGCAAGACAGAACUGACACACACAGAAAUAACACAAUGAAGACAGUGAGGUAUCUAAAGUGCCACUGGACGGUACUUUUUUUUCUUUUUUUUUUUUUUACCUCCAUUGUGCCCAGGCCAAAGCUCUUCUGCCUCACAUAGGAACCUGGCCAGAGCUCUAGAGAGAGGAAAAUGGUCAUUCCCAUCCUUGAACCCACAGCUGAAGCUGAAUGGGGAAACCACUCCUAACCACUUACCGUUGCCUCUUCCCAUCCCGCUCUUCUCGCACCGAAUCUUUUCCCCAGGUGAGGAUUCUCAGGAGACUGGUUGUGCUCAAGAGAUGCCAAUUUAGAACAGACCAGCAAGCCCCAGGCCUUCAGUCCUAGGACUCCUCGAAGUUCCUUGCUUUGCCAAGAGGGGGCAGAGUUGACAGUGGCAACAAGGCCAACAUUGGGAGUGGGAGCAGGGCAGUGUGGGCAGUUGUGUCUCUACCCAUGUGCUCCCACAAAAACUCUCACCCUGGCAGAGUCAGGCCUAUUGUGGCAGCCAUAGCCUGUGGUUAGUAGUCAUCUGCUGAUAUGUGAAAGGUUGAAUAUGGUAUCAGAGAGGCAGUUUGGGAGUAUACAUGAAUAACAUACGCAAAGCUGGGUUAUAUCAAAAUCAAAUGUUUGAAAAUUCAGGCUUGCCAGUACAAGACUCAUGUAGAUCACAACAGUUUGUGAGAUACUUACUCAGUUUCCUUGAUUAUUUAAAUAUUAUCUUGAAUCUAUUCCCAGCUGACAUGAUCCUUAUCUAUUUAUUCUUUCCACCACCCCCCCCCCCACCAUGUGCUCUUAAAUAGAGGAAUGGUGUGUAUUACAGAUUCCAAAAAUGUCUUUUUCUUUAUUUGGUCUCUGGGAACCCAAAAUUAGCUGUUGCUAUGAUUGUAUAUUAACCAAAAAAUCAUAAACGCAUACAGGUCCAUCCUAGCAUUAGAGUAGAAACAUGACUUGGGCAUUUAGAAGCUGUUACAUACUGUUUUUUUAUGGUGAUUUACUGCUUAGUUUUAAUAGAUCAACAAAUUAUUCUGUUACAACUGAAAUUGAUUCCUUUCCAUUAAUUAAAAAUGUAAUGAGGGGCGCCUGGGUGGCGCAGUCGGUUAAGCGUCCGACUUCAGCCAGGUCAUGAUCUCGCGGUCCAUGAGUUCGAGCCCCGCGUCGGGCUCUGGGCUGAUGGCUCAGAGCCUGGAGCCUGUUUCCGAUUCUGUGUCUCCCUCUCUCUCUGCCCCUCCCCCGUUCAUGCUCUGUCUCUCUCUGUCCCAAAAAUAAACGUUGGAAAAAAAAAAAUUAAAAAAAAAAAAAAAUGUAAUGAGAUACUGGUUGGAUCACUUGGAUCAAGUGGUUUAAAUGUGUAUUUACUUCCCUGUAGGAUAGAUAUAUAUAAAGCCAACAUCUUAGCAUUUAGGGAGGAUAAAAUGUGAUAAUGUCUGAGAAAGUACUUGGUGAAUGUAAACUAACAGCCAUGCGCCAAAAAAUUAGCUACCUUAUAAAUUUAUGUAGAUACCCGAAGCUCGGCAUAAUUGAAAGUUAUUUUAGAUUUAAUCAGUAUACAAAAGAUAGGUAGCAUCCUUUAGAAUAAUGGUUAUUUUAACUGUUCUACACAAAUCUAUCACACCCUUUGGCUCUGGAAUUCCUUAGAGAAAAGAGUAUAAUUGCAAUUGAUCUUCAAUCAUGUUCAAUCUGCAGAUCUCCACACAAGAGGAAUCUGUGAAACAAUACACAACCCAUACUGAGUCCUAUCACAUACAUUAUUUAUGUCAAGUGAGCACCUUCCUCUGGAGUAGUAGUAUACUCUGUAGUUGUCUUUUCUCUUCCAUAUCUCUUUGUUAACUGACUUCCAUUACCUAAGUCUAUCUUCCCAACUCCUGUCAUUGUAGGCAGAAGCAUCAUGGUCUUUCAUAUUUUAUAGUGUUUGGCUUGUAUGUUCCAGGUGUGUAAUAAAUACUUUGCUACUUUUUUUUAAAACCUUACCUUUUUUUUUUUUACUCUUUUUCUUUUAGAAACUCCUCAAGCGUUCACAUUGGCUUUUUCUGUCAAGACUACAUUGUUGACCAGCUAAUAACAUCCAGGUAAGCACUGUCUUUUGUGAAGACUCCUUCAUAAGCCCCUGAGAGCCAACCAUUUCAUUGGGCUUGAAAGUGCUGACUUGAAAGAACCAUACACUUAAUCGUCAAGUACACAGGAAUAUUAUUAGUUAUGUGUUAAUAUGUGUUAAUCUCGUCUUCCCUACAAGAGUAUCAAACACUCAGGGAACUGAUGGAGCAUUUGUUCUAUUGUGUUUUGAUGUUGGCAUCUUGGAUCUCGGGAGCUACUUAUUGCAUCUUUCUUCCCAGCCUUGUCUCUCCCAGCAAAGGACUAAACUCAUUUUAACAGAUUAAUAAACCAAAGAUCCUAGAGAUUAAGGUACUUACCUAGAGUCACAUGACUUUUAAGGAAUGAUAGAGCCAGGAUUUGACUGUGGCUCUCUGAUUCAAGAUAUUUUCAGACAAAAUAUCUGGAGUUUACCACCAACAGAAAACACUCCCUGAUGCAAGAAGCAAAGAAAUUGGUAAGUAAGUGGUUAAAAUUAAAAAUGCAAUAAAGGAAUAAUACUAACAAUGUGUGUAGUUAAUGAAGUAAGGCAAGAUGGAACUAAUAUCCUGGACAACAAAGUCGUACUUUGAAGUGGGAAGGGUGGGAUGAUGAUUAGACUUAAAGUUUUCCAAAGUCCUUGUAUUGUUUGGGAAGACAAUAAAAAUAUUGAUUAAGCUUUAUUCUUUUAAGUAUUCAAGUUAAAAUAUCUCAGGUAACUAAGAGUUUUAAUUUCUAAAUUAAUAGAGGGAGAAAAUAGAAUAAAAAUCCAACAAAAGCAUCAUGAUGAUAGAAAAAAGAAACAAAUAGUGAAACAAAUAGAAAUCACAAAUAAUAUGGUAAAAAAUAAAUGCAAAUAUUUCAGUAACUAUAGUAAAUGUAAGCCGAAUAAAGUCUCCAAUUUAAAAAAAGAAUGCAGGGGCGCCUGGGUGGCUUAGUCGGUUAGACUUCGGUUCAGGUCAUGUUCUCACAGUUUGUGGUUCAAGCCCGCGUUGGGCUCUGUGCUGCCAGCUCAGAGCCUGGAGCUUGCUUCUGAUUCUGUGUCUCCCUCUCUCUGGCCCUCCCCCGCUCACGCUCUGUCUCACUCUCUCUCUCAAAAAAAACAUUAAAAAAUUUUUUUUUAAAUAAUAAAAAAUAAAAAAAGAAUGCAAACAGACAAGAAAACAAAAUCCAACAAUAUGCUAUUUUUGAAACAUUCUCAAAACGAAGAACAUAGAAAAAUGUAGGAGGAUGGAAAAAGAUGUCAGGCUAAUAUAUCAGUAGAAAGCUUACCGGUAACAUCAGACAAACUAAGAAUAAAUGAAGGUUGCUAAAUAAUGGUAAGUUCAGGACCCUAGGACUUCAGAAUUCUAAACGUGUAUGUUCAUAAUUACAGGUCCUUAAAAUACUGAAAGCAAACUUUCACAGAACUAUGAGAAAAAUGUAUAAAUUUCCCACUGUAGUGGAGAUUUUAAUACACCUCAAAAUAAUGAAUGGAUAGAUCUUACAAGAAUCAGAAGAUAUGAGCAACAUAAUUAAGAGAUUAAGGGGCACCUGGGUGGCUGUGUCAAACGUCUGACUCUGGAUUUCAGCUCAGGUCAUGAUCUCAUGGUUUGUGAGUUUGAGCCCCACGUGUGGCUCUGCACUGACAGUGCGGAGCCUGCUUAGGAUUCUCUCUCUCUACCUCCCUCUCUGCCCCUCCCCUGCUCAUGCUCUCUCUCUCAAAAUAAAUAAAGUUUAAAAAAAAACAAGACUGAAUUAAUAGACAUAUUAAAUGUUGUACUUAAUAGAGCAUUCAUAUCCUUUUAAUGCACACAUGUGAGAUUUAUGAAGAUUGACCACAUGUAUGUCCAUGUGGUAAUUCUCAACAAAUUUUAGAUGACGGAUGUUGCAUAAGCCACAUUCUCUAACAAACAUGCAAUUAAGUCAGAAAUCACUAAGGGGAGAAAAAUACAUUUGAAUAUUGAAACACAUGCUUGCAAAUAACUUGGUCAGAAAAAAAAAAACUAUGAUGGGAAUUACAAAAUAAUUGGAACUAAAGAACAAUGAAAUGUAAAUCCUGGAUUUUCCUCACUAGGAAAAUUUUUUUUCUUUUUGUUUUGUAUCUAGAUAAGAAGAUGCAUUUAGCAGAGCCUAAUGUGGUCAUCACUUCACAAUAUAUGCAAAUCAGACCAUCACACUGUAUGCCUCAAACUUACAUGGUGAUUUAAUGCAAUUAUUUCUCAAUAAAACUGGAAAAAAUAGUGAAAUACCAAAAUCAUAGAUAAAGCUAAAGCAGUAAUUAAAGGGAAAUUAGGAAUUUAAAUACUUAUGGAGGAAAAGACAAAAUUGACAAUUACAUGUCAAACCUAAAGUAGAAGUAAAGAAAAAAUAAAGAUGAGAGUACAAAAUUAAUGAAAGAAAAGGCAUACAAUGGAGAAGAUGCACAAAGCCAACAAUUCUUUCUGAACGAACAAUUUGACCAAACUCUGACAAACUGGGGAAAAAGUAGAAGAUACAAGUAAUGAGAAGAGGGACAAAACUGUGGAAACUACUGCAAUGAUAAAAUUGACCCAAAAAAUGAACAAUCUGAUAUCAAUAAAUCUGAAAACUUAGAUCAACUCGGAUAACUUUCUAAGAUAAUAGAAAUUAGCAAAACUGAUUUAGUGAGAAAUGAAAAACCUAUCUGUUCCUAAAACUAUGAAAAAAUUAAUCAGUAGUAUGGGGUGCUUUGGUGGCUCAUCGGUUAAGUGGCUGGCUCUUGAUUUCAGCUCCGGUCAUGAUUUCACAGUCAUGGGAUCCACCUGCAUCGGGCUCUACACUCAGCAUGGAGCCUGUUUGGAAUUCUCUCUCUCCCUCUUUCCCUGCCCCUCCCUCGCUCGUUCUCUCAAAAUAGAUAAACUUUUUAAAAAAUGUUUAAUAAGAUUAAUCAGUAGUCAAUUUUCCCUCAAAAAGAAAGGAAGGGGUAGAAGGACAGACAGACUCAGACAAAGAUAGGACAAAAAAGGAAAAGGUUACAAGCUAUUCUCAUUCUUCAACAAAGAUGGAAUAAUCCUGAACAAAAUAUUAAAGCAAAUCCAGCGAUUCAUCAAAAAGAUAAAAACUAUAAUCAAGUUGAAUUUAUUUCAGGAAUGAAAGGGUUCAAUGUUGCAAACUUUUUAAAGCAAUUCACCAUACUGACAAAUUAUGAUGGUGUGAUAGGCAGAAUAAUAGCUCCCCAAAGAUGUCCACUUCCUCAUCCCUAGAACCUGUGAGUAUUUUUCUUUUUGCAGCAAAAGGGACUUGGAUGUGAUUGAGUUCCACACCUUGGGAUGGGGAGGUUAUCUUGGAUUAUCUGGGCUCAGUCUAAUAAUAAAUCCUAAAAAUGGAAGAGGAAGGCAAAAGAGAGAUGAAAAAGGGCAAGGACUUAACCUGCCUGUUUGCUGGCUUUGAAAAUGGAGGAAAAGGGCCAUGAGCCAAGGAAUGUGGCAGCCUCUGCAAGAUGAAAAUAACCCUCACUCAUUUUUACAGCCAGCAAGAAAAUAGGGACUGUGGUCCUACAACCUCUAGGAACUGAAUUCUGCCAAUAACCCAAAUGAGCAGGAAAUAGAUUUUCUCCCAGAGCCUCCAGAAUGGAAUGCAACCUGCCAAUACUGUUUUUAGUUCAGUUAGACCCAUACUGGAUUUCUGGUGUGCGGAAAUUUAUGUUGUCUUAUGCUUCUAAGUUUGUAGCAAUUUGUUACAUCAGCAAUUGAAAGCUAAUACAAGAUGGUACAACCAAAUACUUUUAGAUGCAGGCAAAAGUGUUAACUUUCAGUAACCAUUCUUAAUUUUAAAAAAAGAAAAGAAAGAGAAAAAAAAAAAACCUUUAACAAACCAGGAAUAGAAUGAAACUUCCUUAACCUGAUAAAGAUCUAGAGCAAACAUGAUACAUCAUUGUGAAAUCAUUUUUUAUUUCUUUUGAAAUUAAAAAGCAAAAUGUUUGCUAUCACAUUUCUUUUUUUCUUUUUUUCUUUUCUUUUUCUUUUUCUUUUUUUUUUUUUUUUUUUGCUAUCACCACUUCUUUUCAAAUUGUACUUGAGUCCUAGCCAGCAAAAUAAAACAAUGCAAGAAAUAAAACAGGUAAGAAGUAAAAAGGACAGUUGUUAUUUACAGGUGGUAUGAUUGUCUAUUUAGAGAAGCCCAAAUCAUUUACAGAACAAUACUUAGAACUAAAAACGUUUCUUCAAGUUUUUCAGAUUAAAAAAAAAAGUCAACUUCAUUUCCAUAAUCCAGCAGUUAGAAAGCACAAGCAAAUAAAACAUACCAUUUACAAAAACAACACCAACAUCAAAAUAUGAGAGCUAGGUUAUCUUACUGGUUAUCCAUCUGGAGAGCAAGUAAAAAUGGAUCCUUAUUUCAUAUUUAACCCAAAAGUCAAUUCCAGAUGGAUUAAAGACUUCAAUAUGAAAGGCAAAACAUGGAAAGAUUUAGAAUAAAAUAUAGAAUAAUACAUCAUCUUUAGUACAUGCCCAUGUGAUAGAAAAAAUGUUCUUAAAAUUCAAAGUGCAAACCAAAGGGGUCAAAACUCAGCUCUUUUGAAACUUUGUCGUCAGAAGACAAAAAGUGAAAGGAAAAAUCAUAAACUGGACAGAAAGACCUGCAACACACAUAACAACAACAACAAAAGUGUCUACACCCCAGUAUAGUGGUACUAACCACAUACAACUGGCAAGUACUUAAAAUGUAACUAGGCCAAAUUAAGAUGUGUGUAAGUAUGAAAAAGACACCAGAUUGCAAAGAGUUAGUACAAAAAAAAAAAAUAUAUAUAUAUAUACAUGUAUAUAUGUAUGCAUGUAUUACAUGUUGAAAUGAUAAUAUCUUGGUAAGUAUAUUGUAUUAUUAAGUAAAAAAUAUAAAAAAUAAUUUGGCCUGUUUCUUAUCACUAUUUUAAAUGAGGCUUCUAGAAAAUUUGAAAUUACAUUUUGACUUGCAUUUUAUUUCUGUUGGACAGCACUGAUCUAGAAUAUAUAAGGAACUCGUGCAAAUCAGGGGAAAAAAACAGUUUUUUAAAUUGGCAAAUAUCACCAAAGAGGACAAAUUAAUAGCUAAGAAACAUUGAAAAGAUGUUUUAGGGAAAUCAGAUACGAUGCAGUGUUAGUGGGAGUGUUAAUUAGUAUAAUAGCUUUGGAAAACAAUUUGACUUUACCUAGUAAAGAUGAGUAUGGGCAUACCUACAACCCAACAACUACACUCUUAGAUAUGCAAACUAGAGAAACUUGCACAUGUACCACAAAGGCCAUGUUUGGAAAUGUUCUUAGCAGUAUUGGCAAAUGUCCCAUCAACUGUAGUGUAUUUAUGUAAGGAAUGAUUAAACAGCAUUUGAAAACAGGGGCUCCUGGGUGGCUAAGUUGGUUAAGUGUCCAAGUUCAGCUCAGGUCAUGAUUUCACAGUUCAUGAGUUCAAGCCCCACAUUGAGCUUUCCACUCUCAGCCCAGAGCCUGCUUCAAAUCUUCUGUAUCCCUCUCUCUCUGCCCCUGCCCCCCAAAGAAUAAAAAAUAAGAUGAAAUUUCCAGCUACACCUAUCAAAAUGGUUAAAUCUCAGGAACAGGGGUGCCUGGGUGGCUCUGUCAGUUAAGCGUCCCACUUUGGCUCAGGCCAUGAUCUCAUGGUUUAUGGGUUCAAGUCCCACAUCGGGCUGUGUGCUGACAGCUUGGAGCGUGCUUGGAUUCUGUGUCUCCCUCUCUCUGUACCCCUCCCCUGCUCAUGGUCUGUAUCUCAAAAAAUAAUAAUAAUAAAAAUAAAUGUUAAAAAAUAAAUCUUAAUAACAUAAUAAGCAGAAAAAAAGACAUAAAAGGAUAUAUAAUUUUUUUUCUAUUUAUAUGAAGUUUUACAAGUCAAAAUUAACAGAUUAUGCAGGGAUUUAAACAAGAAAAUUCAGGGGUGCCUUGGUAGCUCAGUCAGUUAAGCAUCUGAAGCUUGAUUUUGGCUCAGGUCAUGAUCUCAUGGUUCAUAAGAUGGAGCCCCACAUCAGACUCUGCACUGACAGUGUGGAACCUCCUUGAGAUUCUCUUUCUCUCUCUGCCCC